rfam:Gossypium hirsutum cultivar TM-1 chromosome 2, whole genome shotgun sequence
UAUUAAAAUUUUCAUCCAUUUCUAUUAUUAAAAACAGACGUGGCUGACAGAAUAAUCAAACAGUUAUAUGUGGCAUGCCAAGUGUAUCUCAUUCUUGCAUACAAAUACCAGUUUUUAACAGUAAAAAUGGAUGAAAAUUUUAACA